rnacentral:rRNA from 1 species
AACGAACGCUGGCGGCAUGCCUAACACAUGCAAGUCGAACGAAGGCUUCGGCCUUAGUGGCGCACGGGUGCGUAACGCGUGGGAAUCUGCCCUUUGGUUCGGAAUAACAGCUGGAAACGGCUGCUAAUACCGGAUGAUGACGAAAGUCCAAAGAUUUAUCGCCAGAGGAUGAGCCCGCGUUGGAUUAGGUAGUUGGUGGGGUAAAGGCCUACCAAGCCGACGAUCCAUAGCUGGUCUGAGAGGAUGAUCAGCCACGCUGGGACUGAGACACGGCCCAGACUCCUACGGGAGGCAGCAGUGGGGAAUAUUGGACAAUGGGCGCAAGCCUGAUCCAGCAAUGCCGCGUGAGUGAUGAAGGCCCUAGGGUUGUAAAGCUCUUUUACCCGGGAAGAUAAUGACUGUACCGGGAGAAUAAGCCCCGGCUAACUCCGUG